rnacentral:rRNA from 1 species
AGUGAACGCUGGCGGCGUGCCUAAUACAUGCAAGUCGAACGGUGUGUCGCGCGGGUGAGUGAUGUAUAGCUAAUCUGCGCUACACUAGAGGAGAACAGUUGGAGACGGCUGCUAAUACUCCAUAGUGUAGGUUGAGGCGAUAUUGUAUCAGCUAGUUGGUGAGGUAAUGGCUCACAAAGGCUAUGAAGGAUAACUGGUCUGAGAUGAUGAGCAGUCACACUGGAAGUGAGACACGGUCCGGACUCCUACGGGAGGCAGCAGUAGGGAAUAUUGCUCAAUGGGGGAAACCCUGAAGCAGCAGCGCCGCGUGGAGGAUGACACUUGUCGGAGCGUAAACUCCUUUUGUUAGGGAAGCGGUACCUAACGAAUAAGCACCGGCUAACUCCGUGCCAGCCGCCGCGGUAAUAC